AUGGCCGGCCGCGGCGGGGCGUUCGCACUCGUUGCGCUGUGCAUGCUCGAGCUCGCGCUGCUACAUGGCGCCGGCGCCGGGGAGCCGCUCGUGCCGGCCAUGUUCGUGUUCGGAGACUCGACGAUGGACGUCGGCAACAACAACCAGCUGCCUGAUUGCAAGCCCGAAUGCAGGGCCGACUACCCGCAGUACGGCGUCGACCACCCCUCCCACGCGCCCACCGGCCGCUUCAGCAAUGGAUACAACCUCGCUGACCAGAUAGCUCAAUUACUUGGAUUCAAAGAGAGCCCACCCGCUUUCCUCUCCCUCCCGGCCGGGGGCAUCAUUCCACAUAUGAAAGACGGCAUCAACUUUGCAUCGGGAGGGUCAGGGCUGCAGAACCAAACGGGCGAUCAUUGCGGAGGAGUCUACAGCAUGGCCGACCAACUGGAGGAGUUCAAGUUGGUCGUCAUGAUGAUGGGGAACGGCUCGUACGACCUCAUCUCCAGAUCACUCUUCUUCAUCAGCGUCGGCAGCAACGACCUGUUCGAGUACGCCGAUGCCAAGAACCCGCCCCCUAACCGCAACGACACCGCCUUCCUGAAAUGCCUCGUCGACUCUUACAGGACCUACCUGCAGGAGUUGUAUGCGCUCGGGGCGAGAAAGUUCAGCAUCGUCAGCCCAUCGCUGGUGGGGUGCUGCCCGUCGCAGAGGGCGGCCGCGCUGGAACAUCACAAUGACUUCGACGAGUUCCACUGCUUCCGCCCGGCGAACAACCUCUCCAAGCAACUCUACACUUUGCUAGCCUCGACGCUCCAGGACCUCGGCGGUGAUCUGGACGACAUGCACUACUCCAUCUGCGACUCGGCAGGGAUGGCCGAGGCGGUCUUCGCAACCGGCGGCGCAAAAGGCCACAGUAUGUCAGCAACAGCCUUUUUUAAUGCGGUAACUUGUGGGGAUAUUUAUUUUAAUAACGUGGUGUUACCUUUUCUGGCAGACCUGGUGGUGGACACGGCCUGCUGCGCCGGCCCAGGGCCGUUCGGGGUGGGCCUGUGCAACACCUCCGCCACGCUAUGCCCCAGCCGCGCCGACUUCCUGUUCUGGGACAGCUUCCACCCGACGGAGUAUGCGUCGGGCUUGGCCGCGUCCGCGCUCUUCAACGACCCCGGUGAAUUCGUCCGCCCGAUCAACGUGGGGCAGCUGGUGGCACUGUAG
rnacentral:rRNA from 1 species